CAGGAACAACAUCUAAUGGCUGCAUAUUCCCAGGACAGUGGAGAGAUGGACAGCCACAAGGACAGCCUCCUUUAGAUUGUGGGAUGGAGCCGGCACCUCUGAGGGGAUGAGAUUUACACGGAGACCAAAGGGACGCAGCUGCUUGCAGAAUGGGAGAAAGAGAAGCUGAAGCCAAGGGAACAUGUACAACGCCUCCAAGACAAGAAAAUCAUGGAGCAGAAGACUCCUCUGGUCUCCAAGGCCAACAGGCUCCCCGUCCUCCGUGGUCCUUAGCUCUGCUGUAGUUUCAAAUACACCUGCAGCUUUCAGCCGCCCACCUCAAACAGGAAUACCAAGUACAGCCUGAAAGGGGUAUUUAUGCCCUCCAGACAACCUUUAAUUUGGAGGGCACAAAUGCAGCCUCCUAUCUGUUAACAGCUUUGGGAGACACCCAGUGUCAGUCUCAGGAGCGCUCAGCAACCCACAGAGUGCUUGCUUUUUGUUGUCUCCUUCUCUGUCCCACUCUCCUCUUUGAUUCCUGCCCAGUCUUCAGCCAUGUCAUUUCAAAGACGCAGGCGUUAAAGGAAUUGAUAAAAGAUCAGAAAUAGAGUAAGCACGGAGAGUCAAACAAGACGGGGUUGGAAUUGUGGGGUGGCGCCAGAGCACAGAGUUGGAGGCCACAGUGAGCAUGUGCCCUCUGUUUCUUGGCAGAGAGCAGGCGCUGUUGGGACAGACACAGUAGGUAGUCCAGGCAGCAGAGAACAGGGCUUCCCACUGUGAGGUUAACUGAGCCGAAGAAAUGAAACGGGCAGUUUGCGAUAUAUUUAAAAGCAGGAUGGCUGACACUUGCUUAUUAAUUGGCUGAAAAAAAAAAAAAAAAAAAAAAGCAGAGGGAGGACCAGCGAUGAUUUUUUGUUUGAGGAACUGAAUGGAUGGCAGUAGCCUGAGAGUGGAAGGAACAAGAUUGGGCAGUUUUGCAGAAGUCCAGCAUGCUGGAAUCUCCCAAGAUCCCAGACCCCUAAGUGAGCUCACACCUUAGGAGAAUUCACCGUAGGUGUGCUUUGUCUUACUCUGCCUCUAGGCAUUCCAGGCCCAUUACCUGGGUCCAGGACGCUGGAAACUGUUGCUGGGGAAUCCUGAGAGGAAGAAAAGAGACAGCAAGGCAGAAGGAGGACAUGUUGGGAGAGUAAAAGGAGAGAGCUUGGGGUAGAUAUGAUCAAGAUACACUGUAUAUGUAUGAAAUUGUCAAAUAAGGGCAGGGACUGCCAUUCAGUGGUAGAUCGUUUUGUCUUGCAUCCAUGAAGACCUAGGUUUGAUCCCUAGUACUUCCAAAAUCUAAGACAUUCUAUAUGGUGUCAUUAUACCUGUUGAGUGGGUAAAAUGGCUUAGCAGAUAAAGGCCUUGCUGCCAGGUCUGACAUAUCAGUUCUAUCCCCAAACCCACAUGGUAGAAGGAGAAAAAUCAACUCCUACCUGCAGACUAGUGUGUGCUCAGAGUCUAACCUAGGUCCUCUAGAAGGCCAGAGCUCUUAACUGGAGCCAUUUCUCCAGGCUCAAACAAGAUUAACAGGAAAGAGUUUACCUUUCAAAAAGACAUUCAGGCCAGGAAUUGACAGUGUCAUAGAAAGUCUGUCCACUGUCUGCUGCAGCUUCGGACCUCAGCCAUUCUCCUACAGAGUUCUUUAGCAUGAACAUAAGUUCUGCAGCACACUCCCCUGCCUUCUUCAAGGUCACCUCUACCCAGCCAUGAAGGGCAAGACUGGAGUUCUCUCUGUGGAGAUUUACUGUGUUGGCCGGAAGUUACUUCCAGUGCCCUCAGUUUAUCAAAGGAGGGAAGAGGCAUCUGCAGGCCUGGGGGCAAGAACAGACACCAGUGAUGGGUGUUUUGUCACCUACAGGGCAGACGGAGACAGUUUGCCCUCUCAGUACAGCUCGCCCUGUUCCAAGCUCACCUCCUCCUGGAGAUGAUGGCACUUUUUAAAGUAGGUCCAUCUGUAAUGUGCCCGGUGCUGCUCAUUACGUUACUUAAUAAAUGGUGCAUAAGAUAUCAUGAAUGGUUUUACAGAGAGACCUAACACAGGCCUUACUCCUUUGCAAUAUAGCUCGGUUCCCCAGGCAUUAGCUAUCACCCCUUAGCUUGCCUCCACACUCAGAGAGCCACAAACACAAAUACACGUGGCUGAGGCAGGUGCUCCCUUAGCAGGAGCCAGAGCGAACAGCACAGCUCCUGAAACACCACCGAGUCGGUAUGAUUCUGAGAUUGGAACUUGGCGCCCUUCAAAUUAUUCGUGUUAUGGAAUCAUUCUGUUUCCCCAGGCAACAUAAUCAACCACGAAACCACUUUGGAAACUUUUGAUUAAGAAAGAAGAAAAGAGCAUACAGUAGCCCUGGAAAGCCUCUCAAGCAACACAAGAGAAGUCUUAGCUCAGAGGCCUCCCUUCGGUCAGAAGGAGAAAAUGCUGUCCUUUAGCCCUAGCCUGAUUUAGGUUUAGAAAUUCUAUAGUGUGGUCUGUUUAUGGAAAUCUAUCUCGGAGGUGUGUGUGUGUGUGUGUGUGUGCAUGUAUGUACAUGCAGCCAUGUUUAUUUCUCCCAGAAAGCUUUUGAAUUCUUAGUUUCAAAGGUAUGUCCAUGAUGUCUAAGCCUUGGGUUAAAGAACUAUUCAUAUCCUCCAGAUUUCCUUAUCCUCGUCCACAGUGUCCGCAACUUUCCCAGGAUCCUUACCUUACAGUAUGAUGUGAUAUUUUGUGUUCUGCAUUUUUAUUGUUUUGGUUUGUUUUUCUCAAGACAGGGUUUCUCCACACAGCCCUGGCUGUUUGGGAACUUAGAUAUUCCCCCGCCACUGCCUCUUCAUCUGCUGGGAUUAACGUGGGAACUGCCCCGCUCACCUUGUGUCCUGCGUUUUAAGUGAUGUGCUUCUCUCUUCAGGAUUCUGUUUUGGGGGUGUCAGGUAUCGUUCCAAAACUCAUUCUCUGCUUGCAUUUCAAAGCCAAGUGUUUUACAUUGAAGUGGUCAUGUUUUUAUAAAAAUGGAGUCACCCGAG
rnacentral:lncRNA from 1 species